UACAGAGGGGGCAAGCGUUAUUCGGAAUUAUUGGGCGUAAAGGGUGCGUAGGCGGCGCGGUAAGUCGGGUGUGAAAUCUCGGGGCUUAAUUCCGAAACUGCAUUCGAUACUGCCGUGCUUGAGGACUGGAGAGGAGACUGGAAUUUACGGUGUAGCGGUGAAAUGCGUAGAUAUCGUAAGGAAGACCAGUGGCGAAGGCGGGUCUCUGGACAGUUCCUGACGCUGAGGCACGAAGGUCAGGGGAGCAAACGGG
rnacentral:rRNA from 1 species